rnacentral:rRNA from 1 species
UACGAAGGGGACUAGCGUUGUUCGGAAUCACUGGGCGUAAAGCGCACGUAGGCGGAUUCGUAAGUCAGGGGGGAAAUCCCGGGGCUCAACCUCGGAACUGCCUUUGAUACUGCGGGUCUUGAGUCCGAUAGAGGUGGGUGGAAUUCCUAGUGUAGAGGUGAAAUUCGUAGAUAUUAGGAAGAACACCGGUGGCGAAGGCGGCCCACUGGAUCGGUACUUACGCUGAGGUGCGAAAGCGUGGGGAGCAAACAGG